UUUACAUUUGAGUGAGUGGCGAACUGGUGAGUAACAAAUGGGAAACCUGCCCAGAAGCGGGGGAUAACACCUGGAAACAGAUGCUAAUACCGCAUAACAACUUGGACCGCAUGGUCCGAGUUUGAAAGAUGGCUUCGGCUAUCACUUUUGGAUGGUCCCGCGGCGUAUUAGCUAGAUGGUGGGGUAACGGCUCACCAUGGCAAUGAUACGUAGCCGACCUGAGAGGGUAAUCGGCCACAUUGGGACUGAGACACGGCCCAAACUCCUACGGGAGGCAGCAGUAGGGAAUCUUCCACAAUGGACGAAAGUCUGAUGGAGCAACGCCGCGUGAGUGAAGAAGGGUUUCGGCUCGUAAAACUCUGUUGUUAAAGAAGAACAUAUCUGAGAGUAACUGUUCAGGUAUUGACGGUAUUUAACCAGAAAGCCACGGCUAACUACGUGCCAGCAGCCGCGGUAAUACGUAGGUGGCAAGCGUUGUCCGGAUUUAUUGGGCGUAAAGCGAGCGCAGGCGGUUUUUUAAGUCUGAUGUGAAAGCCUUCGGCUCAACCGAAGAAGUGCAUCGGAAACUGGGAAACUUGAGUGCAGAAGAGGACAGUGGAACUCCAUGUGUAGCGGUGAAAUGCGUAGAUAUAUGGAAGAACACCAGUGGCGAAGGCGGCUGUCUGGUCUGUAACUGACGCUG
rnacentral:rRNA from 1 species